AGCAGCCGCGGUAAUUCCAGCUCCAAUAGCGUAUAUUAAAGUUGUUGCAGUUAAAAAGCUCGUAGUUGAAUUUCGGGAUCAAUGUUUCGGUCAUGCCGUUGGUAUGUACUGAUAUUAUUGGUUUCUCACCUUCUAAAGAACCGUAAUGCCAUUAAUUUGGUGUCACGGGGAAUUAGGACUGUUACCUUGAAAAAUUAGAGUGUUUAAAGCAGGCUUACGCUUGAAUACAUUAGCAUGGAAUAAUGAAAUAGGACAUCCGAUUCUAUUUUGUUGGUUUCUAGGAUCGAUGUAAUGAUUAAUAGGGAUAGUUGGGGGCAUUAGUAUUCAAUUGUCAGAGGUGAAAUUCUUGGAUUUAUUGAAGACUAACUACUGCGAAAGCAUUUGCCAAGGAUGUUUUCAUUAAUCAAGAACGAAAGUUGGGGGCUCGAAGACGAUCAGAUACCGUCCUAGUCUCAACCAUAAACGAUGCCGACUAGGGAUCGGCGGAUGUUGCUUUUAGGACUCCGCCGGCUACC
rnacentral:rRNA from 1 species